rnacentral:lncRNA from 1 species
GACUUUGAAAGAACUGGACCUGGCAGUCCAGAUGAGAUUGUACAAACAUCAAGAGGAAGUGAGAACAAAGAAAAUGACGGUGAAGAUGUUCCAAGGCGUUACAACCUUCGACGGAGGAAACCUGUUGACCGCUACCAAGCUCCUAUGGAAAGUAGUAAGACAAAGAGAUCGAGAGAGGACUAACUCGGGCCAGCCCUGUUCUGUCAGACAGAAAGAGUCACUUGAAAAUGCUGGGUCACAAAAAUAUAGAAGACGUGCCAGGUUGGUGUAUGGCUAGUGAUAGCUCUUACUUAUCCGUAGAGCUGUCAGUCUCCUUACUGCAUAAUGCUUCAAAGGGUUUUCAGUUUAGUGGUAAUUACAGAGUAAGUUUAUGAUCGGUACUUUGGUAGUCUGAGGAUAGAGAGGAAAGAAAUAUUUGGAGGGCAGGAGGUGGAUACUUUUAAGUUGGUUUCUUUUUUAAAUCCAAUAUUUGUGGGUCGCUGAUAAGAUGAUUAUGGAGGUAGUGUCUGAGUUUCUGUAACUGAAA